rnacentral:lncRNA from 1 species
UCAAAGAAUUCAAUACAAAGAAAAAUGGUGACUUCCCGCAGUUCAUUGUUUUCUCUUCUCUCAUUCCUCAUACUUGCAUUAGCCAUCCUACAGGCUGACGCAUCAAGAAUUCAUGAUGAUUAUCUAAAAUGCCUACAAUCUCAAAACUCAGACUCCAUAUCUACCAUUGCUUACACCCCAAGAAACACAUCAUAUGCAUCCAUAUUGCAAUCCACAGAGCAAAACUUACGUCCCGCAUCAACCUCUCUAUUCAAGCCAACUCUCAUCCUUACACCACUUCAUUCAUCUGAGAUCCAGGCGGCAAUACGCUGUGCCAAGAAACAUGAAAUUCAAAUCAGAGUCCGGAGUGGUGGACAUGAUUAUGAGGGUCUUUCCUAUGCUUCAACAAGCCCUUUUGUCAUUGUUGAUCUUAGAAACAUUAGCUCGAUAUCAGUUGACAGGGAAAAUCGUACGGCAUGGGUUGAAGCAGGGGCAACUCUUGGCCAACUUUAUUACAAAAUCGGUGAGACAAGUAGGGAACUCGCAUUCGUUGCUGGUGCCUGUCCCACAGUAGGCGUUGGAGGACAUUUCAGUGGAGGAGGCUAUAGCAUGUUGUCACGUAAAUUUGGGUUGUCAGUUGAUCAUAUUAUUGAUGCCAAAAUUAUUGACGUGAACGGUCAAAUUUUGGAUCGAAGGUCUAUGGGUGAGGAUCUAUUUUGGGCAAUCAGAGGAGGUGGUGGAGCAAGUUUUGGGAUCAUCAUUGCAUGGAAAGUAAGUCUUGUUUCUGUUCCUGAAAAGGUAACAGUUUUCAAUCUAACCAAGACAUCGGAUCAAAAUGCCACUCAGCUAGUAUAUCAGUGGCAGCACAUUGCAGACAAGAUUGAUGAAAAUUUACUAAUUAGGCUCUUCAUAACGAGUUCCACUUCUCCCCAAACUGGAAAGAAAUCCAUAGUAGUUUCAUUUACCUCUUUGUUCGUCGGUGGAAUUGAUCAGCUCCUUUCCUUGAUGCAAAAAAGCUUCCCAGAGCUGGGAUUGGCAAAAGAAGAUUGCAUUGAAAUGAGCUGGCUCGAGUCCAUAGUCUACUUUGCCAACAUUCCAGGAGCUGCAUCAGUUGAGGUCCUUCUGGAUAGGAAUUCGUCCAAGUCAUAUUUCAAAGGAAAGUCAGACUAUGUAAAGAAACCAAUUUCAGUAAAAGGUCUUGAAGGAUUAUGGAAAAGGCUUUUUGCAGAAGAAGAAGAAGACAUGGAGGCACAUUUCCAGCUACAGUUUAGUCCUUAUGGAGGAAUGAUGAGUGAAAUCUCAGAAUCUGCAACACCUUUCCCUCAUAGGAGAGGGAACAUUUUCAUGAUUCAUUAUGCAGCGGCAUGGGACAAAAAAAGCAAUGCAGAAUCCAAGAGACAUGUGAAUUGGACAAGAAGAAUUUACAGCUACAUGGCUGCCUACGUAUCGAAGUCUCCAAGAGCUGCAUAUUUGAAUUAUAGGGAUCUUGACUUGGGAGUUAAUAAAAUCAAAGGCAAUACAAGCUAUAAACAAGCUAGCAUUUGGGGGACUAAAUAUUUCAACCAAAAUUUUGACAGAUUGGUGCAUGUGAAGACUAAAGUGGAUCCAAGUAAUUUCUUCAGAAAUGAGCAAAGCAUUCCACCGUUGUCAUAAUGGUGGUAGGUAGAUUGAUGGACCAAAAAAAUAGAGUUUGUUUUUGGUUAUUUUCCUUUUCUCUCUCUCUUUUUUUUUUUUUUUUAAAUGGUUCAUGGUACAAUGCGAACUAAAUAAAAAUGUUGCUUUUAGAAUAUUAAUGAUCUGUACUACACAGCAAAUCUUUUGCCGUUGCUCUAGUUUCAAUUUUCCUUGUGAACGCACAGAGGAAAUAAUCUUUCUUGGUUCUGAUUAGAUUUAAAUUCGCAGUGCUGUUAUGGGUCGGUGGCAAUUUGAAAUUCUUUAUUUUAUAGGAUGUUGUUGUUUCCUUUUCCGGCUUAGAUAUUGAAUAGUUAUAAGCUUAUGAAUACUUGUUGCGUUGGUAUACAAUUUUACAAAUGUAAGAAGGAACAUUUGUGUACCAAUUCUAAAUGUCUGACAUAUAUAUGCAUGGUUUGAGUCCAAUUAUACCAAUAGCAUCUUAUGGUGUUCCUUUUCCGAAUACUUGCCAACUGUCAUGACACAGGGAACAUAUUGACAAAGUUCUAUUAAUAAAAAAUUAAAAACAUAUUACUAAAAGUAAGGGAAGUCAAGUGCAAAUAAUAAAGAAUCAGAAAUAAGUAGUAAAUAACUUUCUGUACAAAGUUGGACCAACGACUAGUGCACUAGAUUACAACAGCUAUUUUUUCAGGUCUUUGCCAUUUUGCAUAUAAAGGCAACAAAAAGCGUUAACAUGGAUCUUAUUUUGACUUGAAACAGCAAAAUUUGUGGUAGGAAGAUAGUGGUUUUGUAUGGAUUUAUCAAGCUGAAGGUGAAGUAUAGGUGCAUAAACUAUGGUCUUAUCAAGCUAAGGGAGGAAUCAUGAAAUUCAAAUAUUGCAACUGUAAUCACAAGGCAAUUGUGAAGAUUUUUAUGGUGAAAAAAAUCCAAAUAAAUUAUCAUUUGGUGUAUCAAUUUAUGAGAGUGAAUAAAUAUUUGGUUUAUCAAUUGGCACCGUUUUAUAAUUGCAAGUUAUUGUUCAUUAUUAAAGAGAUUCCUAUUAACUAUUUUCAUUAAUUAGUUACUAACAAUUGAUUAGUGCCCUAAUUACUUAAUUGUCACAUGUUAGUUUCUAAUAAGAUAUAACAUUAGUUUCUUCUUCUUCUUCGGUUAAUUGAAUGUUAUUUUCUUGGUUAGUUAUGACGUAAUUUCCUAAUAUAUGUGAAAGCUACUCUCGUAGUCAAUCAACUAUACUUGUAGUUAAGUCAUACCUACUUUCGUGGUUAUGAAAUUAAUUAUAAACUCAUUUUUCUAUGAAAUUACAUGGAACAAUCCACUAAAAUCACAAAAGUACAUCUCUACUCUUGUGAGUGUACUCUCUAAAUUUAAUACUUCCUUGAACUAGUGUCAAAUCCCAAUUCUCAUUGUAAACUUAACACUUUAAGAUUAUCACAAUUAAUGGUUAGUUAAUUAUGAUUAAAUAAGCAACAAUGCUAAAUAACUUGUUCAAAAUAAUAUCAUCAAAUAACCAAUUAAACAUUACUAACAAGGUAUGGAAAGUUCAUCCAUAAUUCUAUGUAUAAAUUUCAGCAAAACAUGAAGAGAGAAAAAGAAAAGACCAUACUUGUAAUAUAACUAAACAUGAAUUCAAAUACAAAAGAGAAAGUAAUAGGAGAGAAGUUACCCUUGUCACAUGAGUUCGAAACUCUUCAUCUUGCUCCUUAAUUCUUCAUCCAAAUCUAACUACAAGUAUAAGAUAGAUAAACUACGCUAACUAUACCGUACUAAUGAACUAAGAAAAAGUAGCGAAGACUAUAUUUUGGUAGUAUCUCUAGCCUUCCAAAGUUGUGAAAAUAUGUCUUCAAACCUCCUAUUUAUAGAUGAAUUCAAGCUCCAAAUGAGUUAUUAAAAUUGAUGUAAAAUGCUCUUGAGAUUCCCAAAAUAUUCUACUACAAGUCUCUAUGCUUUUCUUUACCGUUGCAGGCAAAAUUCUUACUAGAAUUGAGUUGUAAAAAGUCAUAAAAAUUAGAGCAAGUGGCUGUGCAAGUUGUACACAUGUUUACAGAAUACGAACCCUUAUGGUCGCGUAUUGUGGGUGUGUUUUGCCUCCCCUUCAAGUUUGCACUUUUCUUAUCAAUCUUCAACUUUGCUCUGUUUUUUUUAUCAAUUUCAACUGAUAUUUUUUCAAUAAUGGAGAUCGAACUAGCUCUUAUACAAAACAUGAAAGUUGUAGCUCUUUAAGUUGACUACUUCAAGAAUCAUCUAAUUUGGAGAUUUGUAGACUAACAAAUGAUCAAAAUACCCUUGUCUAGUCAAUCUCCUAUUUCAGUUUUUGACAACAGAAAUAGCUGAUUGUAUUUCGACUUUUUGACUAGAAAAACUCAUGAACUGGAUUUCUAUGUUUUCAUAAGAAAUGUAGAAGUAUGUAUUAGCUUCAAAAUAACUUAAGAAUUAUCUCAAUGUAAUACUUUGAACUCAAGAUAUAGCCGAAAUGUCAAAAGGUGUCAAAAUUGUUAAACAUUUCUUCUUUUAUACUUUAUUUCAUUUCAUUUUUUGAACAUUUUGCACUUCAUAUUCUCUUUAAAUUACUUCAAAUCAUCAACAACCAUCCAAAUAUCUUCUCAAUUCAUUUUAUUUGAUGAUUGAAUGAUUAAAACCUACAAAAACAGGAAAUUUUCACCAUUUGAACACAUAGAAAUACAAUGUUUUACAUUUUGAACCACAAAAUGCAAAAUUGACUAGAAACCUAAUUAAUUAGUUAUAAAAAUGAAUACAACACACUUAAACACUCAAAAUGCACACAUAUCAUCAAUCAAUUCUGGUUAUUCUGAACAUGAACCAAUCUGUGAAAAUUAUUCUUGAAAUAUUUAGUCCCCCAAAUGCUUGCUUUUUUGGCUUGUAUGCCCUUGAAUAUCAUGAAAUCCCAAGUCAAGAUCCCGGUAAUUCAUAUAGGCUGCUCUUGUAGACUUGGAAACAUAGGUAGACAAGUAAGGAAUGAAUUUUGAUUUGGCCCUCCAAAAUAUACCAAAGUUUUGUUUCGUCCUUUGAAAGUAAGCAAGUUCUAAUUAAGUCCUCCAAACUAAAAAAUUCGUUACAAUUGAGGCCUUGUAUCAAUUCAAAUCUGGUUAUUAAAGUUCGACCAAACUUGAGUUGUUUGUUGAAAUCUUACAAAUUUUUUUGGGAACUUUAAAGCAAUUAAUAUCCUUUUAAAAAGAAUAAAAUUUUUCUUCGAAUCUGAUUUGAAAGAUUUAUCAUAAUGGCAGAACCUUUUCCAGAUUAGAGGAACAAUAAUUUAUCCUUUUUAGUUCAUUUAGCCGAUAGGUUAAUAGUAGUUUUGAAGUCCUUAGAAUUGGUAAGGUUUUCUUUACGACUUAAAAUUUGGUCAAACGUGAUUGACCAAAAAUGAAUUGAUGAAUGGGCUCAUUUAAAACAAAUUUUUUACCUCUGAAGACUUAAUUAGAACUAGAGGUGUCAAAAUGGGUGACUUGGGCGGGUUUGGGUUGGGUAAAAUGGGUAAUGGGUAUAAGUAAGUCAACUCAUUUAUACCCAUUUAAUUAGAUGGGUAUAAAUGGGUAAGUCAAAAAAUGAAUUGGGUAAUCCAAUUACCCAUUUAUAACUCAUUUACUUUAACUUUUUGCAAACUCAUUUAAAUUCAUUUUUGUAAACUAAGUUAUCAAUUUAUACCACUCUUUGUACCCAUCAUUAGUUUUAAAUAUUUACUUAUAAUGUUCAAAAAACAUAAUUACCAAUUUUUUUCAUUUAUACUCUAUGUCACAAAAUUACCUAAUAUUUAAUAAUUGAAUAAUACGAAUAUAAAAUUUUGAAUUAAGUACUAUAAAAAUUAAUAUAAAAACUUAAUCUAAAAAUUUUGAACCCCUAACAUUUUUUCAUAUAUAAAUUUAAAAUUUCAUUUUAUAAAGAUAAGAAAAUAGGCUAAAAUUUAUCAUAAAUUGGUAAUGCUAAAAAAUGAGCAAGUUAACAAACUAAGAAAAAAUAAAAUAAUAAGAUAAAACCAACAAUAAUAAUAAUAAUAAUAAUAAUAAUGUUAAUAUCAUGACAAAAUGAAAAAUUUGAAAAAAAAAGGUAGGGGAAAAGAAGAGACUUGGGGGGAAGAGAAUUUUAAAUGGGUUAAUUGGGUUUGAUGGGUUACCCAAUAAUACCCAUUUAAUAAAUGGGUAUUAUUGGGUAACCCAUUUAUACCCAUAUACAAAAAUUUAAGAUACCCAUACCCAUCUAUUCAUGGGCGGGUAUGAGUAAAUCUAGUUAAGUGGGUUGAUUUGCCACCUCUAAGUAGAACUUAUUCAAUUUUUCGGAUUGAAUCAACACUUUGGUUUAUUUUGGGGGACCAAAUCAGAAUUUACCUUUAUUAAAUUUUCACCAACGUCUUGAAUUGAUGUGUUCCACAGCAACAAUCCACUUUUCCAUUUGGUCCUAUGCAUGUUAUUCAUUAUCCUUGUGGAUUUCUUGAACCUACACCCUCUACCUGAUAACAUAUAAUUUGGUUAAUUUGAUGAACUCGGGAAAUGUUGAAAUGGAAAUGCAUGUCAAAGAGAUAAGACCAAUUAUUGGCCAUUUCGUACCCUAAAGUGUAGAUCUCAAAAAAUUUCACUAAAAAACUAUAGGAAAUAAUUUUAUAGAACCAAUGUAUGGGAAGGCAAUUUACAUACCUAUAAAUAUGUGUGGAAGAAUGAGGCAUAAAUUAAUAAUAUAUUAUCAAUCACACAUAAUAGCAAUACCCUCAACUUUUCACUUUUCUUAGCUGAUAAUAAAUUGGAUAAGUUGGUAAAUAAGUCUUACGACCAUAAGAAAUUUUUUUAAUAAAAUACUAAUUCAUAAACAAUAACACUACCGUAAUUUGAACCCUAAAGAAUUACUUGAAUCUUAACUUUGACUAAAACACUACUAAAUAAUAGUAUAAAAAUUUCUACUUUUGAACCUUGAUUUAAUAUGCCUGCAUAAAGGUUUCGAGAUGAAAGAGAGUAACAAUGGUCAAAGACGGGAACUAAUUUCAAGUGGCGCCUAUAGUCACCGUCUUAGCUAAGAAAAAAUAAACUGAUCAAUACAACAAAUUUUGAAUAAUUUUGGUGACUAUUUGUGCCACCUUUUCCGUUUGAUUUAAUAAAAAAUAUCUAAAUAGAAAUAAAAAAGUUAGCUAUAAUGAUCAAUCUACUUUUGUUGAUAUCUCACAAUUAUUUUAAAAGAGUAAAUCUAAUAAUAAAAGGAAAAUGGCCAUUUUGGUCAAUUGUCUUUGGAGUUUUGAUCAAUUUAGUUCCUUAUCUAUUAUCACAAUUAUUUUAGUCCAUUAUUUUUGCCAUCUAACAUAAAAUUGAAAGUUUGUAAUAGAAUUAGUAUCGUGCAUAGUAUGUGCAUCAUUAAAAAUAAUCAUUUUGCUCCAUUAUCAUUAGAGUCAUGUCCAAUUUUAUUCUUAUACAUCACCGCAUACCCAUUGUUGUGUGUGUGUGUGUGUGUGUUUUUUUUUUUGUUUUAUUAAUCUAAUCUUUUUUCUAAAUUUCAAAGGUAGGCUUAUAGUGCACGAUACCAGCUAAAUUAAGGUUUUGUAAUUUCUCAUAAAAGUCCUAUAUUGACUUUGUUUUGUGAAAAUGCCGGUUUAUAUUCGUGAAAUGACAAAAUUGGACACAACUUUAAAAAUAAUGGAGCAAAACGAUCAUUUUCAAUAGUGCACCUGCAGUGCACGUGAUUAACUUUGUUAAACAUUUUUAAUUUUUCAUUGGAGGUUCUAGAUUGUUUUUUUUCCUUUGUGUAAAGAUAAGGAACUAAAAUGGUAGCAAUGAUAGAUAGGGACUAAAUUGGCAGAGACUCCAAAGUCCAUCAAAAUGGCUAUUUCCCCAUAAUAAAAUAGCAAUGAGUUAAAGAAAAUGCAUCAUGUAUUUUGACAAAAAGAGAGAAGCAUCAUGGAUAUCCUAGAGACCAUCGCAAAGAACUCUACCUCAAAAAUUAUUAUUUCACUUUAAAAGGUCGCCGGAAAAAAAAAGAAAAAAAUUGCUAAUUUCGUAUAUGUCACAUAAUCACAAUUUUUUAUCCAAACCAGAUAAAAAGGCUACCACACUUGCUUAUAAUUACCAAAUAACUGGCCUACCUUGUCACUAUUCAUUCAUUCAUUGAACCUUGUAUAUUUUUAUGAUAAGAUGAGAUAAAAUAUAACAACGUAUUUGACAUGUUUCCCAGUAACGUAAUCUAUUGGGAAAUGGUAUUUUGCGGCCGCAAGCAAAGGAAAAAUAUGUAUUCGAGGAAAGGAUCUGAGAUGGACUUUUCUUUCUUUAAUAUUUUUCCCCUUGUCGGUCAUCUAAUCUUCUAGGCAUGCCCACUUCUAAGAAAUUACAUCAGGAGUUCUCUUCCUGCGAAAUUCUUGACUUGGGGAGUUCAUUACCAGUGCUUAAGCUUUAAUUUCAAUCAAACUAAAAGUACAUGAAGUUACGAGGAAUUGACUGCUAUGCUAUGCUAUUCAACAUUGAAUUUAUAAACAUAAUCUAAUUGUUUUAAUUGUUUAGAUUGUUUAAAAAACAUUUGGGUUUGUAAUUUAUCAGUUAUCUGAAUAUAUUUUAAAUACUAGAAUAAUUAGUGAUUUACAAGUCUAAAUAUCUCCUAAAAAAUCUAAACAAUUGGAAGAAUUUGAAAUGAUUUCAAAUUUUUCGUCAAAUCUCUCGAUCCAAUCGCGGUGAUAACAUAUUAAUACAAAGAAAUCAUUCACUGUAUUAGGAUAGCACGCAACAUAGCAAUACUUUUCUAAAACGUGUUAUAGAAAAUUCUAUAAAUAGCACUCUAGCCCAAUUCAGUUUUAUCAAAGAAUUCAAUACAAAGAAAAAUGGUGACUUCCCGCAGUUCAUUGUUUUCUCUUCUCUGGUUUCUCAUACUUGCAUUAGCUAUCCUACAGGCUGAUACAUCAGGAAUUCAUGAUGAUUAUCUUAAAUGCCUACAAUCUCAAAACUCAAACUCCAUAUCUACCAUUGCUUACACCCCAAGAAACACAUCAUAUUCAUCCAUAUUGCAAUCCACAGAGCAAAACUUACGUCCCGCAUCAACCUUUCUAUUCAAGCCAACUCUCAUCCUUACACCACUUCAUUCAUCUGAGAUCCAGGCGGCAAUACGCUGUGCCAAGAAACAUGAAAUUCAAAUCAGAGUCCGGAGUGGUGGACAUGAUUAUGAGGGUCUUUCCUAUGCUUCAACAAGCCCUUUUGUCAUUGUUGAUCUUAGAAACAUUAGCUCGAUAUCAGUUGACAGGGAAAAUCGUACGGCAUGGGUUGAAGCAGGGGCAACUCUUGGCCAACUUUAUUACAAAAUCGGUGAGACAAGUAGGGAACUCGCAUUCGUUGCUGGUGCUUGUCCCACAGUAGGCGUUGUCCCACAGUAGGCGUUGGAGGACACUUCAGUGGAGGAGGCUAUAGCAUGUUGUCACGUAAAUUUGGAUUGUCAGUUGAUCAUAUUAUUGAUGCCAAAAUUAUUGACGUGAACGGCCAAAUUUUGUAUAGAAGGUCUAUGGGUGAGGAUCUAUUUUGGGCAAUCAGAGGAGGUGGUGGAGCAAGUUUUGGGAUCAUCAUUGCAUGGAAAGUAAGUCUUGUUUCUGUUCCUGAAAAGGUAACAGUUUUUAAUCUAACCAAGACAUCGGAUCAAAAUGCCACUCAGCUAGUAUUUCAGUGGCAGCACAUUGCAGACAAGAUUGAUGAAAAUUUACUAAUUAGGCUCUUCAUACCGAGUUCCACUUCUCCCCAAACUGGAAAGAAAUCCAUAGUAGUUUCAUUUACCUCUUUGUUCGUCGGUGGAAUUGAUCAGCUCCUUCCCUUGAUGCAAAAAAGCUUCCCAGAGCUGGGAUUGGCAAAAGAAGAUUGCAUUGAAAUGAGCUGGGUCGAGUCCACAGUCUACUUUGCCAACAUUCCAGGAGC